AUUGAACGCUGGCGGAAUGCUUUACACAUGCAAGUCGAACGGCAGCACGGACUUCGGUCUGGUGGCGAGUGGCGAACGGGUGAGUAAUACAUCGGAACGUGCCCAGUCGUGGGGGAUAACGUAGCGAAAGCUACGCUAAUACCGCAUACGAUCUAAGGACGAAAGCGGGGGACCGUAGGGCCUCGCGCGAUUGGAGCGGCCGAUGGCAGAUUAGGUAGUUGGUGGGGUAAAGGCUCACCAAGCCGACGAUCUGUAGCUGGUCUGAGAGGACGACCAGCCACACUGGGACUGAGACACGGCCCAGACUCCUACGGGAGGCAGCAGUGGGGAAUUUUGGACAAUGGGCGCAAGCCUGAUCCAGCCAUUCCGCGUGCAGGAUGAAGGCCCUCGGGUUGUAAACUGCUUUUGUACGGAACGAAAAGGCUCUGGUUAAUACCUGGGGCUCAUGACGGUACCGUAAGAAUAAGCACCGGCUAACUACGUGCCAGCCGCCGCCGUAAAAC
rnacentral:rRNA from 1 species